rnacentral:rRNA from 1 species
GACGAACGCUGGCGGCGUGCUUAACACAUGCAAGUCGAACGGAAAGGCCCUGCUUUUGUUGGGUGCUCGAGUGGCGAACGGGUGAGUAACACGUGAGUAACCUGCCCUUGACAUUGGGAUAACUUCUGGAAACUGGGGCUCAUACCGGAUAGGAGCUACUGCUGCAUGGUGUGCGUUGGUAAGUUUCGGUGGUUGGGGAUGGACUCGCGGCUUAUCAGCUUGUUAGUGGGGUAGUGGCUUACCAAGGCUUUGACGGAUAGCCUGCCUGAGAGGGUGACCGGCCACAAUGGGACUGAGAUACGGACCAGACGGCUACGGGAGGCAGCAGUGGGGAGUAUUGCACAAUGGGCGGAAGCGUGAUGCAGCAGCGUCGCGUGCGGGAUGACGGCUUUCGGGUUGUGAACAGAUGUCGAAUGUAACGAAGCGUGAGUGACGGUACUGGAUAAGGAAGCACCGGCUAACUACGUG